rnacentral:tRNA from 1 species
GUCGCAUUAGACUUCUGGUGAGGUCAUCACCCUUUCAAGGUGACUAGACGGGAUCGUAACCCGUAUGCGACUCCA